rnacentral:rRNA from 1 species
AUUGAACGCUAGCGGGAUGCCUUACACAUGCAAGUCGAACGGCAGCACGGACUUCGGUCUGGUGGCGAGUGGCGAACGGGUGAGUAAUGUAUCGGAACGUGCCCAGUAGCGGGGGAUAACUACGCGAAAGCGUAGCUAAUACCGCAUACGCCCUUCGGGGAAAGCAGGGGAUCGUAAGACCUUGCACUAUUGGAGCGGCCGAUAUCGGAUUAGCUAGUUGGUGAGGUAAUGGCUCACCAAGGCCGCGAUCCGUAGCUGGUUUGAGAGGACGACCAGCCACACUGGGACUGAGACACGGCCCAGACUCCUACGGGAGGCUG